rnacentral:rRNA from 1 species
GAUGAACGCUAGCGGCAGGCCUAACACAUGCAAGUCGAGGGGUAACAUAGAAAAGCUUGCUUUUCUGAUGACGACCGGCGCACGGGUGCGUAACGCGUAUACAACCUACCUUUUAGCGGGGAAUAGCCCAGGGAAACUUGGAUUAAUGCCCCAUAGUAUAUAGACUUCUCCUGAAGUUUAUAUUAAACAUUUAUGGCCAUUAGAUGGGUAUGCGUCCUAUUAGCUAGUUGGUGUGGUAACGGCACACCAAGGCUACGAUAGGUAGGGGUCCUGAGAGGGAGAUCCCCACACUGGUACUGAGACACGGACCAGACUCCUACGGGAGGCAGCAGUGAGGAAUAUUGGACAAUGGGCGAGAGCCUGAUCCAGCCAUGCCGCGUGCAGGAAGACUGCCCUAUGGGUUGUAAACUGCUUUUACAGAGGAAGAACCACCCCCACGUGUGGGGGUUUGACGGUACUCUGCGAAUAAGGAUCGGCUAACUCCGUG